UUACAAAACAAAAACAAGAAAAGCAAACAAACUGUAUGAACUAGCUACACCAAGAAAAAUAUAUCCACUCCUCCCAAGAGAUUGACUGCACCUUAGCUCUUUGUUUCAUCCAUUGGAAUGAUCCUUCCUUGAUUUCCUCGAUCAACUUGUAAGCCACUCCAUUUUUUGAUCUAAAGAUUUUUGCGUUCCGAUUUUGCCAAAUACUCCAAGCUGUUAACAUAAAAAUUGCGUGUACUGCCUUCUUUUUUACCUUAUGCCAUUGCUGGUCGUUGAGCCAGUUAAGCAUACCUUUAAGUGUUGUCGGUUUCGAUGUUGUUGACAUUUUCACCCAGGUAUAUAUUUGAGACCAUACCAGUUCCGCUAUACCGCAAUUUCUAACACUCUUCACCGAGAAAUCAUUUAAUAAAUAAGUUUUAUUAUUACUAUUAUUAUUUUCAUUUUGAUAUAAGGGUAUAAAGAAGCUGGCAAUUAAAGCAAAUGUUUGGUUGUAAACCAAUAACAAUUGGCUCAUUUGAUGUACAAAUAGACCAUUAAAUCAUGAAUUCCAUGCAACUUCAUUGAAUGUAAACAAAGUAAGCGUGGCUGCAUUAUUAAGCUCAUUGCUCAUUGCUCAUUAUUUUCUUUUGGAACUUCAUUAACCUCAAAUAAUUACCAAAAAACAUGCCCUGCUGUGGAAUCAUUAGUCCAGAAAGCGGUAACCGACGCAAACAAAACGUGACAAAACUGCCCCGGCGGGGCUCCUUCGGAUGCAUUUCCACGACUGUUUUAUACGGGGGUGUGAUGGUUCGGUUUUGUUGAGUUCUAAGGGUAAUAACAAAGCUGAAAAAGAUGGUCCGCCUAAUGUUUCGCUGCAUGCGUUUUAUGUUGUUGAUAACGCGAAAAGAGCAGUUGAAUCUGUGUGUCCUGUCUGGAGGACCAUCUUGGGUUGUGCCUAAAGGAAGAAAAGAUGGAAGAAUAUCUAAGGCAAGAGAAACCAUACAACUACCAGCUCCCACCUUCAACUAAGUUUCUCUCAGAGAGGUCUAUCUUUAGAAGAUCUAGCAGCACUUUUAGAAGAUCUAGCAGCACCUUCAGGGCGUUCUCUCGGGUUCUCGCAUUGCUCGUCUUUCAACAAUAGAAUCCACAACUUCAACUCGACAACUGACAUCGACCCGUCACUCCAUCCAUCAUUUGCUGCAAGCUUAAGACGCGUUUGCCCUGCCAAAAAUAAUGCAAAGAAAGCAGGAGUCGCAAUGGAUCCUUCAUCUUCUACUUUAGAUAAAUACAUAUUACAAAUUAAAUUUUGCAGCACAAAGUUUUAUUUUCUUCAGAUAAUGCUUUGCUCAAUUCCCCCAAGACCAGAAGUUUGCUAUCUAAGUUUGCUAGCUCAAAUGAUGCUUUUUCGAAAGCGUUUGUCAAGUCGAUGAUCAAGAUGAGUUGCAUCACCGGGGCGAUCAGGAGAUCAGGAAGAACUGUAGGGUUCUAAACUAAUUAAGCAAUUAGCCAACCUAUGAAGAUGUACACAUUGUAUGUAAUUAUGCUUGAACGUUGAAAUUUUAUGUGGUUCAUGUAAUAUAUGUAACAUAAAUUAAAAUAUGAAUUUGUUAUGAUAA